rnacentral:rRNA from 1 species
UACGGAGGGAGCUAGCGUUGUUCGGAAUUACUGGGCGUAAAGCGCACGUAGGCGGCUUUCUAAGUCAGGGGUGAAAUCCCGGGGCUCAACCCCGGAACUGCCCUUGAAACUGGAUGUCUAGAAUCCUGGAGAGGCGAGUGGAAUUCCGAGUGUAGAGGUGAAAUUCGUAGAUAUUCGGAAGAACACCAGUGGCGAAGGCGACUCGCUGGACAGGUACUGACGCUGAGGUGCGAAAGCGUGGGGAGCAAACAGG